rnacentral:rRNA from 1 species
UACCUACGGGACGCAGCAGUGGGGAAUAUUGCACAAUGGGGGAAACCCUGAUGCAGCGACGCCGCGUGAGAGAAGAAGUAUUUCGGUAUGUAAAGCUCUAUCAGCAGGGAAGAAAAUGACGGUACCUGACUAAGAAGCCCCGGCUAACUACGUGCCAGCAGCCGCGGUAAUACGUAGGGGGCAAGCGUUAUCCGGAUUUACUGGGUGUAAAGGGAGCGUAGACGGCACGGCAAGUCUGAAGUGAAAGGCAGGGGCUUAACCCAU